GCCCAGUUGAACCUCGGCGGUCCGGGGCGUAGGCUUCAAACCUGCGGCCGAUUAGCGUCGGAGUGGUUCGACUCCACCUACUGGGCG